UACGUAGGGGGCAAGCGUUGUCCGGAUUUAUUGGGCGUAAAGAGCUCGUAGGUGGUUCGGUAAGUCGGAUGUGAAAUCUCCAGGCUCAACCUGGAGGGUCAUUCGAUACUGCCGUGACUAGAGUUCGGUAGGGGAGUGUGGAAUUCCUGGUGGAGCGGUGAAAUGCGCAGAUAUCAGGAAGAACACCCGUGGCGAAAGCGGCUCUCUGGAACGGUACUGACGCUGAGACGCGAAAGCGUGGGGAGCGAACAGG
rnacentral:rRNA from 1 species